CAGACUACUCUAAGACUAGGUCACACAAGACCAUUCAGCUUCCAUGCGAUUCUCUUGUUCUAGGUGUUCUGUCUUAUGACAGUCUUACUUGGAACCCAGUUGCCAUGAUGUGAGAAAGCCCAAGCUGCAGGAAGAUGUCAUGUGGAGUUGUUCCAAUCAACUGUCCCUCGUGAGUCCAGCCUUUGAGUCAUCCAGCCCCAGUGCCAGACAGUGAAAGAAUUUCCAGAAAGCAAGACUGCCAACAGCAGAGAUAAAUCACAACUGGGCAGGGGAGAUGAACAUAGCCAAAGAGAAACAGUGUAGCAAAAAUCUCU
ensembl:lncRNA